AGCCCUAACUCUCGACUCCACUCUCACCCACAGCUGCCACUGGAAAAACUGGAACACAAGGUGGGAAGGGAUUAUCUGGGUCAUCAUGUCCAGUCUCCUGACGUCACGGGUAGCCCUGGGACAGACGUUUGGUCCAAACGUAUUCUGCUCAACUCCACAGAGAGUCCUUAUCACUGGAGAAGGAAGUGGGACCAAGUUUAGAGGUCAGCCCUGUCUAUUUCCAUCUGGCCGCAGACUGAACACACCCAUUAGCACAGAAUUCCCCAGCACAACUGUUUCCCUUGGUUUAUAAUUUACUUUUCCUUUUGGUGCAGGAGCUCUGAACCAGAGACUGCAUUCAGGCCUUGACCCGCCAUGUUAUCUAAACAUCUUGCUGAUGUUUCCACAGCCCCUGGAGUAUCCUUGCCUGUACAAACACAUCUAAAACCUCUGCUUCCUGUUGAUUGGCUAUGGGGGAAAGAACUGCGACAGCACAUCAAGAAGAAAGCUGAGGCUGUUUCCACCAGGCUUAGAACUGAAAUAAAGAAUUUCACUCCGUGAUUCCUCCGGCUUCUGGUUGGUCUAGAGCACAUCAUUCAGAAGGGCUGGUGUAGACGCUGUGAGUGAGACGUAACUAUAUUAUGCUUUUAGAUCAAAGGACUUGCUGGUACCAGAAAUCUUCCCCGGGUGGAGAAACUGACGGACAGAGGAUGAAGGCACAUCCCCAUUUCACAGAUGGGGAAGCUGAUGCUCUGAGCAAUGAGGUACCUUGCCCAAGAUGUUGCAGUGAGCCAGCUGCACAGCCCAUGAAAAGAACUCUGUAUCUCUCAGUCCCGAUCACCAGGCCCUGCAGGCCUGAAUGUAUUUUUGGGAUCCAAUCUGGAGUGAAACCCAGAUUCCUGGAGGAAGCCCAUAUGCCUGUGUUGAUGUUUUUGUGAGGAGGGGGAGUCAGCUGGCUUGAUGGUCUCCUCACAUUUUUUCCCUUGCCACACUUCCCGUUUCCUCUGUUUGGAGCAGCUCUGUCACUGAAGGGCCAGAUCAAACAGCUUUUAAAGGUGUUGUUUUCCCCUCUUUAUUAAUGUGUCUCAGCUCUGACUCAUUUCCUUUCCCACUGCAGAUCAUUCUUUGGUGAAUUCUAAAAUAAAUCCCUUUGCUCAGCUCCCAUCCUAGAGUUUGGCAGAUUAGCUACCGACUUGCCUUUGUUUGUUUCUUCUAUUACCAACAAACAGUUUCAGUAACUCUUUAAGGGACAAGCUGAAGCAGGGAUCAGGAUAUACUGCAUCCGUGGGCGCCCCAGGGGGUUUUCAAGAAGGACCAAGCUAAUAAUAAUCAGUGACUGUGUUUGUUAGCUUCCUUUUAUUGUUGUCCUUGCUUGAGUUUAUUGUGGGCUUUGGCCCCGGAUGUUUCACUUCAGUCUGGAGCAUCUGGAAGUUCUGGGAAUUUCAGACAACGCAGAGAUUUAUCACAUGUUUGCAAUCCACAUUCCCUACCCCACAAAAUGAAAUUAAUAGACAGGCUGGAUCCUCCAAGGGAUUGGGGUUGUUCUAAAGAACAAUGUAAGUUUAUUUUUUUAAAUCACAUCUAUGAGCAAAAAAAAAAAAAAAAAAAAAAAAAGCAUUUAAUAUGCUCAAGGUCCAUCUUAAGGAUUAACUCAUUAAUCUUCACAGCAUGUCUCUGUGGGGUAGGAAUUAUUAUCCCUGUUUAUGAUUAUCCCUGCUUCUAUUUCAUCCUAGAUGGAUGUAGGUGGGCUGGGCAGUGUGCCCUGAAGAGGAUGGAAAUAAAGGAUGCUCUAAACAGUGUGGGGCACUGAUGCCUGGAGUCUGAUGUUGUGUCCUACAUUUGUCUUCCUAAAAUCCACAGAGCCCAAUCCUCUCAGAUUGCCGGACUCAGAGCAUCUCAAGUCACAUGAAUGAAUGAUGGUCUGUUUCUAUUGGCUUGGGAUCUGGCCCACAAUCCACCAAGGGAACCAGGGGAAA